rnacentral:rRNA from 1 species
GAUAAACGCUGGCGGCGUGCAUGAGACAUGCAAGUCGAACGAAGGAUCGGGCUUGCUCGAUCCUUAGUGGCGGACGGCUGAGUAACGCGUAGGUGACCUACCCCGAAGUGGGGAAUAACUGCCCGAAAGGGUGGCUAAUACCGCAUGUGGUCGCACGUUCAUUCGUGCGAGUAAAGCUGCAAGGCGCUUCGGGAGGGGCCUGCGUCCGAUUAGCCCGUUGGUGGGGUAAUGGCUUACCAAGGCGACGAUCGGUAGGUGGUCUGAGAGGACGAUCACCCAGACUGGGACUGAGACACGGCCCAGACUCCUACGGGAGGCAGCAGUCGGGAAUUUUGCUCAAUGGGGGAAACCCUGAAGCAGCAACGCCGCGUGAGGGAUGAAGGCCCUCGGGUUGUAAACCUCUUUUGUCAGGGACGAUGAUGACGGUACCUGGCGAAUAAGCCACGGCUAACUACGUG